GUCUAAGGACAUACCACCCUGAACGCGCCUGAUCUCGUCUGAUCUCGGAAGCUAAGCAGGGUCGGGCCUGGUUAGUACUUGGAUGGGAGAAAUGGUAAGCUUCCUGUUUUCUUGUCU
rnacentral:rRNA from 1 species